rnacentral:rRNA from 1 species
GGGUUGUGAGGUUAAGCGACUAAGCGUACACGGUGGAUGCCCUGGCAGUCAGAGGCGAUGAAGGACGUGCUAAUCUGCGAUAAGCGUCGGUAAGGUGAUAUGAACCGUUAUAACCGGCGAUUUCCGAAUGGGGAAACCCAGUGUGUUUCGACAAUAAUUAUCAUUAACUGAAUCCAUAGGGUUAUGAUGGCGGAACCGGAAACAUCUAAGUACCCCGAGGAAAAGAAAUCAACCGAGAUUCCCCCAGUAGCGGCGAGCGAACGGGGAGCAGCCCAGAGCCUGAAUCAGUGUGUUAGUGAAGCGCCCAGGUUAAGUGCGAUAUGGUAAGGCGACAGUACAAUAAAAACAGAUAACAUGCUGCGAGCCUGAUGAGUAGGGCGGGACACGUGGUAUCCCGGUCUGAAUAUGGGGACCAUCCUCCGCUAAAUACCCUGACCGGACCGAUAGCAGAACCAGUACCGUGAGGGAAAGGCGAAAACCCGCGAGGGGAGCGGCAAAAAGAACCUGAAACCGUGUACGCACAAGCAGGGAGCACGCUUAGGCGUGACUGCGUACCUUUAUGGUAGGCAAUGGGUCGCGACUUAUAUUCUAAAGGUUAACCGAAUAGGUGGGAAGGAAACCGAGUCUUUAACUGGGCGUUAAGUUGCAGGGUAUAGACCUGAAACCCGCAUCUAGCCACAAGAAGAAAGGUUAAAGUAACAAUAACUGAGGACUGAAACCGACUAAUACGUUGAAAAUUAGCGGAUGACUUGUGGCUGGGGUGAAAGGCCAAUCAAACCGGGGAGAUAGCUGGUUCUCCUCGAAAGCUAUUAUAGGUAGCGCCCGUGAAUCAUCUCCGGGGGUAGAGCACUGUUUCGGCAAGGGGGUCAUCCCGACUUACCAACCCGAUGCAAACUGCGAAUACCGGAGAAUGUUAUCACGGGAGACACACGGCGGGUGCUAACGUCCGUCGUGAAGAGGGAAACAACCCAGACCGCCAGCUAAGGUCCCAAAGUCAUGGUUAAGUGGGAAACGAUGUGGGAAGGCCCAGACAGCCAGGAUGUUGGCUUAGAAGCAGCCAUCAUUUAAAGAAAGCGUAAUAGCUCACCGAACAGUCACCGAAGAUGUAACGGGCUAAACCAUAACCGAAGCCGUGGCAGCGACGCUUAUGCGUUGUUGGGUAGGGGAGCGUUCUGUAAGCCUGUGAAGGUGUGCUGUGAGGCAUGCUGGAGGUAUCAGAAGUGCGAAUGCUGACAUAAGUAACGAUAAAGCGGGUGAAAAGCCCGCUCGCCGGAAGACCAAGGGUUCCUGUCCAACGUUAAUCGGGGCAGGGUGAGUCGACCCCUAAGGCGAGGCCGAAAGGCGUAGUCGAUGGGAAACAGGUUAAUAUUCCUGUACUUGGUGUUACUGCGAAGGGGGGACGGAGAAGGCUAUGUUGGCCGGGCGACGGUUGUCCCGGUUUAAGCGUGUAGGCUGGUUUUCCAGGCAAAUCCGGAAAAUCAAGGCUGAGGCGUGAUGACGAGGCACUACGGUGCUGAAGCAACGUCCUUUGCUUCCGUGAAAGUUCUGGUAACAUCAACCAAAAUUCCAACCGACACACAGGUGGUCAGGUAGAGAAUACCAAGGCGCUUGAGAGAACUCGGGUGAAGGAACUAGGCAAAAUGGUGCCGUAACUUCGGGAGAAGGCACGCUGAUAUGUAGGUGAAGUCCCUCGCGGAUGGAGCUGAAAUCAGUCGAAGAUACCAGCUGGCUGCAACUGUUUAUUAAAAACACAGCACUGUGCAAACACGAAAGUGGACGUAUACGGUGUGACGCCUGCCCGGUGCCGGAAGGUUAAUUGAUGGGGUUAGCCGCAAGGCGAAGCUCUUGAUCGAAGCCCCGGUAAACGGCGGCCGUAACUAUACCCAUCCCAUAGCGAAAUUCUUUGUCGGGUAAAAGUUCCGACCUGCACGAAUGGCGUAAUGAUGGCCAGGCUGUCUCCACCCGAGACUCAGUGAAAUUGAACUCGCUGUGAAGAUGCAGUGUACCCGCGGCAAGACGGAAAGACCCCGUGAACCUUUACUAUAGCUUGACACUGAACAUUGAGCCUUGAUGUGCAGGAUAGGUGGAGCUCUAGCAAAUUGCAUGGGCCGACCUUUGAAAUACCGCACCCUAAUGUUUGAUGUUCUAACGUUGACCCGUAAUCCGUAGUUGCGACAGUGUCUGGUAGGUUUGACGCAAAGAGGAACGGAGGAGCACGAAGGUUGGCUAAUCCUGGUCGGACAUCAGGAGGUUAGUGCAAUGGCAUAAGCCAGCUUGACUGCGAGCGUGACGGCGCGAGCAGGUGCGAAAGCAGGUCAUAGUGAUCCGGUGGUUCGAAAUGGAAGGCCAUCGCCCACCGAUGCGCGUAAUUCGGUGGAUAACAGGCCGAUACCUCGCCUAAGAGUCUAUAUCGACGGCGGUGUUUGCACCGAUGUCGGCUCAUCACACCUCGGGCUGGAAGUAGGUCCUGCUGGGUAUGCUGGCUGUUCGCCAUUUAAAGUGGUAAUAAAGUUUAGAACGUCGUGAGACAGUUCAUCCCUACCUGCCGUGGGCGCUGGAGAAUGAGGGGCUGCCUCUAGCACGAGGACUGGAGGACGCAUCACUCAGGUUCGGGUUGUCAUGCCAAUGGCACCGUCUGGAAGCAGUCGCGGAAGAGAUAAGCGCUGAAAGCAUCUGCUAACGAAACUUGCCCUGAGAUGAGUUCUCCCUGACUCCUUGAGAGUCCUGAAGGAACGUUGAAGACGACGACGUUGAUAGGCCGGGUGUGUAAGCGCAGCGAUGCGUUGAGCUAACCGGUACUAAUGAACCGUGAGGCUUAACCUUACAACGCCGAAGGUGUUU